rnacentral:rRNA from 1 species
AUAAGUAAUGNGAAUUGCAGAAUUCAGUGAAUCAUCGAAUCUUUGAACGCACCUUGCGCUCCUUGGUAUUCCGAGGAGCAUGCCUGUUUGAGCGUCGU